rnacentral:rRNA from 1 species
UACGUAGGGGGCAAGCGUUGUCCGGAUUUACUGGGCGUAAAGCGCACGUAGGCGGCUUUGUAAGUUAGAGGUAAAAGCCCGGGGCUCAACCCCGGAAUUGCCUUUAAGACUGCAUCGCUUGAAUCCAGGAGAGGUGAGUGGAAUUCCGAGUGUAGAGGUGAAUUCGUAGAUAUUCGGAAAGAACACCAGUGGCGAAGGCGGCUCACUGGACUGGUAUUGACGCUGAGGUGGCGAAAGCGUGGGGAGCAACAGG